CCUACGGGGGGCAGCAGUAGGGAAUAUUGCUCAAUGGGGGAAACCCUGAAGCAGCAAAGCCGCGUGGAGGAUGAAGGUUUUCGGAUUGUAAACUCCUUUUGUUAGAGAAGAAAAUGACGGUAUCUAACAAAUAAGCACCGGCUAAACCCGAGACAGCAGCCGCGGUAAUACGGAGGGUGCAAGCGUUACUCGGAAUCACUGGGCGUAAAGCGCGCGUAGACGGGCUAGCAAGUCAGAUGUGAAAUCCUAUGGCUUAACCCUAGAACUGCAUUUGAAACUUGUAUUCUAGAGUAUGGGAGAGGUAGGUGGAAUUCUAGGUGUAGCGGUGAAAUGCGUAGAGAUCAAGAGGAAUACUCGUUGCGAAGGCGACCUGCUAGAACAUAACUGACGCUGAUGUGCGAAAGCGUGGGGAGCAAACAGGAUUAGAUACCCUAGUAGUC
rnacentral:rRNA from 1 species